rnacentral:snRNA from 1 species
GCGCUCGCUUCGGCAGCACAUAUGCUAAAAUUGGAACGAUAUAGAGAUUAGCAUGGCCCCUGCAUGAGGAUGACACGCAAAUUCGUGAAGCGUACCAUAUUUUU